CGGAGGUCGUCUGGUCCGACAGGGCGACUGCCUGUGUGCUGCUCUGGCCCCCCUGUAUGCGCUGCUGCGUUUGUUGGCUGUGUUGCUGGAGGCCGGUGGUGGCGGUGCUGGUGUUUGGUGGUGGUAUCCAUCCUUCCGUCUUGUCCGCUGUGUUCCUGGGAGUGGGUUGCUUCACUGAGUGUGUCUGCCACGUGUGCCUGGUGAUUUAAGUUGGUUUCUCUUUUUUUUGGUGGAUCCUUCCCCUUCACUAGUCCUUGUCCACUCACUAGGCCUCAGCCCUGAUUAGGUUCUUUCCC